ACCUUUGCGUCUAUAACUACAAUUGUCCUCAGGGCUGCACUGUCCCGUACGGGAGCCACCUCUGGCUAUUGGCACCAGCAAUACAGUGGAUCUGGAUUGAGAGAUGCUGUUGCUGGAAGUGCCAGCCAGAUUUUGCAGACUUGGUACGACAAGAAGAACAUGCGCUGACCCAUGGAGAACCUCCUGAACACCAAGAACUGUGCUAAGCCAGAUGAGGAAACUGAGGCAGAGAGGGGUCAGGGACCGUGCCCAAGGUCGCACGCUGGCCCCCUGAGAGGUACUUCCAUCAGUCCCACUUAACAGAUGGGGAGACUGAGGCUCCGAGAAGUGAGGCGACACGUCCAGGCCCGCGGGGUCACGUCCACUGGUCUGCUCUCCUG